rnacentral:rRNA from 1 species
GGGGAAUUUUCCGCAAUGGGCGAAAGCCUGACGGAGCAAAGACCGCGUGAGGGAGGAAGGCUCUUGGGUUGUAAACCUCUUUUCUCAGGGAAGAAGCUCUGACGGUACCUGAGGAAUCAGCCUCGGCUAACUCCGUGCCAGCAGCCGCGGUAAUACGGAGGAGGCAAGCGUUAUCCGGAAUUAUUGGGCGUAAAGCGUCCGCAGGUGGCGAUUCAAGUCUGCUGUCAAAGCACGGGGCUUAACUCCGUUAAGGCAGUGGAAACUGAAUAGCUAGAGUGCCGUAGGGGUAGAGGGAAUUCCCGGUGUAGCGGUGAAAUGCGUAGAGAUCGGGAAGAACAUCGGUGGCGAAAGCGCUCUACUGGACGGCAACUGACACUGAGGGACGAAAGGCUAGGGGGAGCGAAUGGGAUUAGAUACCCCAGUAGUC